rnacentral:rRNA from 1 species
UACGAAGGGGGCUAGCGUUGUUCGGAAUUACUGGGCGUAAAGCGCGCGUAGGCGGUGAUCUUUGUCAGAGGUGAAAGCCCGGGGCUCAACUCCGGAAUUGCCUUUGAAACGGGAUUGCUUGAGUCCGAGAGAGGAUGGCGGAAUUCCUAGUGUAGAGGUGAAAUUCGUAGAUAUUAGGAAGAACACCGGUGGCGAAGGCGGCCAUCUGGCUCGGUACUGACGCUCAGGCGCGAAAGCGUGGGGAGCAAACAGGG